GUUAGGACAUGGGUAGUGCCUUCUGGGGUUACUUCCAGAGUCCCGUUAGUGCCCCACUUGUAUGCAAUUCCCGCUGCUCGGAGUUGUGUGGUGAGUGGUCCAUACGAUUUGCGCCACAUGAGGGUGGCUUUUGAUAGGUCCUGGAAGAACGUCAGGGAAGAGUUCUCAAACAGCAGCGGUGUCUUGCCUUUCAGCCCGGCCAUUAUAUGUAGUUUGUCUUGUACUGUGACACAUCUGUGGAUGAC